rnacentral:tRNA from 1 species
AUUACUUUGGCAGAAUAAUGCUUUAAAUUUAGAUUUUAAAUAUGUAAUUUAUUAAUAAUACAAGUAAUU